rnacentral:rRNA from 1 species
GACAGUGUCAGGCGGGGAGUUUGACUGGGGCGGUACAUCUGUUAAACAAUAACGCAGGUGUCCUAAGGUUAGCUCAGUGAGGACAGAAACCUCACGUAGAGUAAAAGGGCAAAAGCUAACUUGAUCUAUGACCUUCAGUACUGGUAUAGACCGCGAAAGCGUGGCCUAUCGAUCCUUUUGUUGUUCUUAAACGGUUGACAGUUUCAAGCAAGAGGUGUCAGAAAAGUUACCACAGGGAUAACUGGUAGCGCUAAGGCUUAAUGUGGCUGUCGCAAGGCAGUCAAGCAAGAUAACAUUGAGCGGUGCAGCGUUAUAAACUCUGGUGUUUGUAGUAUCAAUGUGGCAUGACAGGCAACUGUUAUGUUACUUUCGGCCUAGCGUACAAGUCCCAUUGACUUGGGCUUAUUCUUAAUUGAGAUGUCUACGUGUUUGGGGCAACCUGGAUGCGUGGAUGAGCCAUAGAGGGUGAAAGUCCCUUAAUGCGCUGGUAUUGAUGCUACUAAUCAGAGCAGUGAUGUCUGUUGAAACACACAGACAUUGCGAUUUAUUAGAGUCGGGUUGCUUGAGAGUGCAACCUAAAGAGCGAGGUAAACUGCUCGUAAGGCUAUGUAAAUAUGGCUACGACACCGAUAGCAAACAAGUACCGUGAGGGAAAGUUGCAAAGUACUUUGAAGAGAGAGUUAAACAGGGCGUGAAACCGCUAGCUGGUAAAACCCGUCUUGAAACACGGACCAAGGAGUGUAGGAGGGUUGUGUUGGUAGCGUUGAAGGCUAUGAGGGAGUGAUCCUGGCUGGAGCUGCCAAUAGUACAGAUCUUGGUGGUAGUAGCAAAUACUCAAGUGAGACCCUUGAGGGCCAAUGUGGAGAAGGGUUCCAUGCUAACAGCAAUUGGACAUGGGUCAGUCGGUGAAUCAGGUUAAUAUUCCUGAACCAAGAUGAGGAGAUGGCACGGACCACGGGAAUCCGACUGUCUAAUUAAAACAAAGCAUUGCGAUGGCCUAAGAUUGUGGUGUUGACGCAAUGUGAUUUCUGCCCAGUGCUAUGAAUGUCACAGUGAAGAAAUUCAUCUAAGCGCUAGUAACGGCGGGAGUAACUAUGACUCUCUUGUGGUAGCCAAAUGCCUCGUCAUCUAAUUAGUGACGCGCAUGAAUGGAUUAACGAGAUUCCCACUGUCCCUAUCUACUACCUAGCGAAACCACAGCCAAGGGAACGGGCUUGGCAAAAUCAGCGGGGAAAGAAGACCCUGUUGAGCUUGACUCUAGUCUGGCUUUACGCGGAGUAUGAUAUUGUGCCGUUAAGGUGUGAUAUUAUACGUUGCGAGUGGAGCCACGAAGUCGUUUCGUAGAAUACGGGAUGCAAAUUCAGCUAUGAUCAUAGUUAAUAACUAUGGUUGAAGUGUAUUUUUGCUUAUUCCGCUACUGUAAGCGUACACUGCAACCAAUUAGACGGCCAAAUGUGGAAAUAGUUUGCAAGUUUAAUAAGGAAACUUGUUGCUUGUAAGCGCAAAAAUUUAUGUAUCUACUAUAGGUAGCUUGGUUAGAGUCUUGUUAUUCUAUCCGGGUGUAUGAUAUUUUUUGUAGAUACGUGAACUACAUUUGGGUACUGAUUGGCAAAAUGAAAAUCGAAACGCAAGAUUCGUUUAUUCAUAGAAAGCGUCUAGCAUUGUGUCGCAGGUACAAUUGCGCGUCGCCUAGUAUAAGCUUGAUAGUUUUGAAUUCAGGCACGCAUAUUGUGAUUGGGCUUGUCUCGUUCAUAUAUGCGCUGUUUCCUGUCUAAUCGGGUAUUAACUUUACUGGCGGUCCGAUGUAAUUGCUAUGAUAGCCUGUAUACGAUAGUUGGUCUGCAAGAAUUAGCAGUGAGUAGGUCGGCUUUCCACACGCGUUGAAUCAUUGUUCGUAUUGAAUGCGAUUAGUUACGAUUCAACGCCUAAGAGAAUGGCGAAAGCUGUUUCUGAAUCAAAGACAGUGUAAAACAAUGAAGAAAAAAAAGCAAAUAUUUCAGCCUAUGCGCAACACGUGACCAAUAGACAAGAUGUGUAAAAACGAUUGUUUAGUGUUAGUGUGUUUGUGUAUUUGAUGGAUUUGUUUUAAAAUAUUAUAAAAGCAGCACUGUAUGACUCGAAAGGUGCUUGUUGUGCGAUUUUUAGGAAUUGUUCAAUAGGUAUCGGCGGUAACGCAAACAAGGCUCUGAGGAUCGAGUUGGUCGGGCUGUUAGCUGGCAACUUUCAUGAGUUUGUAUCUGUGCUGGACCUUUGUCGGGAUGCAAAUCUGCAGAUAUUGGAUCGGCAUAGAUCGCUCGUUUGUUGGUGGCUGCAGCUACGUUGGUAGCGAUAAUAUAGGAUACUGUAUUAUUGUUAUCAUUACAAAAACGUCAUCGGCCAACAACUAACGAUCGAAUCAGAACUCAAGCUCUCGCAGAAAAUAGUGAAUCAGUUUCAUCUGGUAAAGCGAAUGAUUAGAGGCCUUGGGAGCGAAACGCUCUCAACCUAUUCUCAAACUUUAAAUGGGUGAGAUGUACGACGUACUUAAUUGACGCCGUAUUCACAAGAAUGUAUUGAGAGCUUAGUGGGCCAUUUUUGGUAAGCAGAACUGGCGAUGCGGGAUGAACCGAAAGUGAAGUUAAGGUUGCCGAUAAUGGUGCUAACAAAUUGUGCACUAGCUACACUCAUGAGAUCCCAUGAAAGGUGUAAGUUGCUAAAGACAGCAAGGACGUGGCCAUGGAAGUCGGAAUCAUCUAAGGAGUGUGUAACAACUCACUUGCCGAAGCAACUUGCCCUGAAAAUGGAAGCAGCUCGAGUGUUGAACCUAUACUUCACUCUAGUUAAGUAUCGAGUCGAUCGGUCUUGAUUAGGCCAGACUCUGGAAAUUCUUAAUUCGGAUAUGUUCCAGUAUUAACAAAUGAUGGCAAAGUGAAAUCAAAUUAUAUGUGAUCUGAGGUCUAUAAAAAUGGCCUACAGCGCAACAUAUGCCUACUCGUAUGGUUAUACGCGCAAGUGUUAACCGGGUGGAGCAAAGAGAUACUUGACUGGUAUUCUCUCACUUGGCCGUACCCAUAUCCGCAGCAGGUCUCCAAGGUUAACAGCCUCUGGUCACUUAGGAUAAUGUAGGUAAGGGAAGUCGGCAAAACGGAUCCGUAACUUCGGGAUAAGGAUUGUGAAGAGACAUGAGAGGUGUAGCAUAGGUGGGAGGUGUGUGUUGAAAGGCAUGCACCGCAAGUGAAAUACCACUACUUUCAUUGUUUCUUUACUGA